CUCAUUCUCGUUCCUGCUGCCUUGUGAAGAGGUGUCUUCUGCUAUGAUUGUCCAGGAAUACAAAUGCUGAUGUGAUGCUAUUCAGAUCCUUAAGGUAAGGCAAAAUUCUGAUUGGAGCAGAACACUUCAGAAGUAUUUUUCAACGUAUACUGAGAAGUUGCUCUGCGACAGAUGAUAUGCCAAGCAGCUGGGAAGCAAAGAUGAGGAAGACAUGACCCUGUCCUGGAAAAGCUUCUUGACUUGAAGGAGUUAGGAAGGAAUCAUAUGAAGAGAA
rnacentral:lncRNA from 10 species